CAAAAUUUAUGAACUUCGCAGGGCUAUAUUUUCCACAUUUUGCAACAUUUCGCAACCAAACUUUGCAGUCAUACUCAUCCUACGAUGCUCUUUCCAGCUAAGCUAAGGUAAUGGAUCUUGUUCUUCUUGCCUAGAUCAAAAUUUAGUCUAUAGCUGGAAUCAUCCAUUAUACACGCCGAUUAGCCUUUCUCGCGCAGGCUAAAUGUCUCCAUUUUGUGGGUACUGUCUUGCUUCAAAAGCGACUUUUCAAAGUUGAAAUAGCAAUUUUACCAUGAUAUGUACAAGUACAUUGGUACCUUUUUCUUUUACGAACAACAACAACCUUGAACUUUCAGAUGUUGACAUUAAUUAUCACGAGCAGCUGAGGCAAUACAGUAUAUACUAAAUUAAUUUAUGAAAGCAAAGUGAUUUACUUUGAAGACGUUCACUUGCCAACCAUGUAUAGCUUCUCCUGAUGGAUCUGGCUUUAAUAUUAUUCUGGUGAAUUAGCAUUGUUUGGACCAAUAUACUAACAUUGGAGUAACUAAAUGUGAGGUACGAUGGCCGAGAAGGGACUUCCGAGAUUCCAGGAUUCCAAGUAUCAAAAUUGACCAUUUUAAGGCCGCGUUUACACUAUGACGCUACGGCUAACACUCCUUUAAAAAUUCACUACGUUUCUAGUAGGCUAUUGAGACUAUAUUGUGUUUACACUAUAACGGAGUGAUUUGCCGUAGCGUACUAUCUAUACGGAAUUAUAUCGUGUUUACACUAUAACGGAGUGAUUUGCCGUAGCGUACUAACUACGGAAAUCAAUUUCGUUAAAAAUUCACUGCGUUUCUUAGUAUUGUAUUUACACUAUAACGGAGUGGUUUGCCGUAGCGUAUUAACUAUCACUACGCUACGGUAAAUUUGCCGUAGCGUCAUAGUGUAAACGCGGCCUAAUAGCUAGUUUACGCGCUUUUACUCGAAUAGCUGUUAUGAAGAGAUGAAAUUUGUAUAUAGUCGAACCCCUAUUAAGCAGACACCUUCGGGACCUCGUUGUCAUCAUCAGUGAUCUGACACAUAUCUUUCGGCUCCUCGGCUGGCGGUUCACAGUCCUCCGUCCUCGUUCGUCAUUUCCUCAAUAAUCUUGGCUCUGAUGUCUUCGCGCCAAGUUGGUGUGUCACUGUCAGUGUGCCAUGUAAAUUGAUCUGAAUUGUUAUUUACUGUCGAAUAUUCAAUACAUUUUAUCAGACAAUCUGUCCGCUCAGAGAGGUUGGUUUGACAUUUGGGACCUCAAGUAAAGUGUCCGCGUCCGCUAAAGAGGGGUGUCCGCUUAAUAGGGGUUAUGAUAAUAGUAUUUUAUUAAAGAAAACGAUAUGUGUCCGCUUAAAAGAGGUGUCCGCUUAAGAGAGGUGUCCGCUUAUAGGGGUUCGACUGUAAUUUUAUUUUCAGUUUCUAUUCACUAGUAUUCAUGCCCACCUACUUUAUCCGGAAUAAUUUACCAAGAUCGGCAAAAGCUAGGAAGUGCUAUUUUGAAGCUUUGGGGCUUUUGGAUGUCAUUUUCCUGAAUAGCUACUUUUGUAAUUCUAUAAUAAGUAAAUGUUCUUUUGUAACUUUUAUUAUGUAGUUUGCAAUAUGUUGCAUGUCAAUGGCUCCCUUAUAUAGGGUUUUUGCCGUUUGUUAAAAUAAG
rnacentral:lncRNA from 1 species